rnacentral:rRNA from 1 species
UACGUAGGGGGCAAGCGUUGUCCGGAAUCAUUGGGCGUAAAGAGCGUGAAGGCGGCCCGGUAAGUCCGCUGUGAAAGUCCAGGGCUCAACCCUGGGAUGCCGGUGGAUACUGUCGGGCUCGAGUCCGGAAGAGGAGUGUGGAAUUCCUGGUGUAGCGGUGAAAUGCGCAGAUAUCAGGAGGAACACCAAUUGCGAAGGCAGCUCGCUGGGACGUUACUGACGCUGAGACGCGAAAGCGUGGGGAGCAAACAGG